GGAAGGUGGGGAUGACGUCAAGUCAUCAUGGCCCUUACGGCCUGGGCUACACACGUGCUACAAUGGUCGGUACAAAGGGUUGCCAAGCCGCGAGGUGGAGCUAAAUCCCAUAAAACCGAUCGUAGUCCGGAUCGCAGUCUGCAACUCGACUGCGUGAAGUCGGAAUCGCUAGUAAUCGUGAAUCAGAAUGUCACGGUGAAUACGUUCCCGGGCCUU
rnacentral:rRNA from 1 species